rnacentral:rRNA from 1 species
UACACUCCUACGGGAGGCAGCAGUGAGGAAUAUUGGACAAUGGGUGGAAGCCUGAUCCAGCCAUCCCGCGUGCAGGAAGACGGCCCUAUGGGUUGUAAACUGCUUUUAUCUGGGGAUAAACCUACUUACGUGUAAGUAGCUGAAGGUACCAGAAGAAUAAGCACCGGCUAACUCCGUGCCAGCAGCCGCGGUAAUACGGAGGGUCCAAGCGUUAUCCGGAUUUAUUGGGUUUAAAGGGUCCGUAGGCGGACUGAUAAGUCAGUGGUGAAAUCCGACAGCUUAACUGUCGAACUGCCAUUGAUACUGUUAGUCUUGAGUAAGGUUGAAGUGGCUGGAAUAAGUAGUGUAGCGGUGAAAUGCAUAGAUAUUACUUAGAACACCAAUUGCGAAGGCAGGUCACUAAGUCUUAACUGACGCUGAUGGACGAAAGCGUGGGGAGCGAACAGGAUUAGAUACCCCGGUAGUCCCAU